GCAUUUUGAGCCAUUUUUGGCUUAAAAAGCCUCGAAAUCGUGUUACGUGGGAACACGUACGGAGGUUCGAAUCCUCUUCUCUGCGCCA
rnacentral:tRNA from 1 species